ACGAAUGUUGGCGGCGUGCCUAAUCUAUGCAAGUCGAACGGAUUGAUCGCAAGAUCAGUUAGUGGCAAACGAGUGAGUAAUACGCGGGAAUCUACCCUUGUCUUAGGGAUAAUUCACCGAAAGGUGGACUAAUAUCUAAUGGUCUCCAGGUUUAAAUCUGGAGUAAAGCUCCAAUGCAAAUUGGAGUGGUCAAGGAGGAGCCCGCGGGCUAUCAGCUAGUUGGUAGGGUAAAGGCCUACCAAGGCUAUGACGGCUAGGGGACGUGAGAGCGUGAUCCCCCACGAUGGAACUGAGACACGGUCCAUACACCUACGGGUGGCAGCAAGUGGGAAUAUUGCGCAAUGGGCGGAAGCCUGACGCAGCGACGCCGCGUGAAGGAUGAAGGCCUUCGGGUCGUAAACUUACAUUAAAAAGCAUCGGCUAACUACGU
rnacentral:rRNA from 1 species